ensembl:lncRNA
GAAGUUCCCAGGCAGGGGGAUCAACCCCGCCCCACAGCGGUGCACAAGCCAUAGCAGUGAUAAUGCCAGAUCCUUAGCCCAAUGAGCUAUCAGGGAACUCCCAACCAAAGCUACUUUAGAUCAUUCUCAGGGUUGAGCAUCUUUCAAGGAGCUGCCUGAAGAUCUAAUGAAGUUAAUGACCUUAUGAGUCAUCCCAGAAAAGCUCAGGAAAUUACACACCCUCUCCAAACUAUGGUGCUCCCCCCAGCUGCUUGGCUGUUCACCAUUAAUAUCCAGGGCCUUGCCCAAGUUACUUGUGCACUCUGGGUGUCACCUCCCUGACCUGUAAAUUGUGUAUAUUGAUGAGCAUUAUGUAUGACUGCUUUGAAGAUAAAAUGUGAAAUGUAUUUAAGGACUUGACACGCCACCUGGAAUAUAAAAAGUACUUAAGUAUAGCAAAUACUGUUAACUAAUCAUUGUAAUUGUUAAUAUUUUGAUGUCCAUAAUGUCUGAUCCAUGGAAAAAUCUCCAUUUCCAGCAAAGAGUCAACACUGCUGUGGUGACAUUUUUCCUCUAUAGAGAAGAUAAAGCCAGACAACUUGGCAUGCGGCAUGUGUUCUAAAAUUGUAUAAGCUACCAAAGGCAAUGGAAAAGCAGAUGAGAGCAUUUUAAAAAUUAAAAUGCCUUUUGAUUGCUCUGCGUUAUGUCCUGUGUUGCAGAGAGGCACUGUCAAAAUCAGUAGCUUUAUGAAUGAUGGAUUUUGUACAGCAUAAAAAGGCAUGGCAAAGUAUAUUUCAAAUUUUGUUUUGAAAGCACUGAUUCCCAUACAUCUUUGAAAUUAAAUUUCCCUCAUGGUUCACCUUUAAACCUGUUACCCUGCUCUAAGAGAAAAAUAAGAAAAGGAAAAUCCGCCUUCACAAAACCAUUCAAAGGUAAACUGCCGAUAAACAUUAGAAAUCACAUAAAUGAAUUAUUUUAUGAGUCUGAUUUUUCUCUACUGAAUAUUCUCCUCCUUUUUGUCAUUAUUCCAAGUACCUGAGUGUCACUUGUAUUUAUUUUUUCCUUAUGCUUCCAUAAAUACAAUGAAAAGGCUAGUAUUUCUAACACAGUGCUUUGCUUCUGUUUAUCUGAUAAUGCAAUAACCAAGAUUUCAUUAUAGUAUAAAAAAUGUUAGUGAAAUGAAUGAACGGAAUGUCUGGUCUAAUUCUCUGCUUUCGUUUUUAUUAAUAUUACAUUUCCUAUAGGUUUUCUCGUCUUUGUGACCACUGCACUUGAGAAAUAUUGAGCAAUUCUUACUCAGAUUUUCUUAACUAUGUACCUUGCCUGCAAGCUGAAGAUACCAUUGAGUUUUUCUAUUGUAGGUUUGUGAAUUAUGUAUAAAAAGGGCAUUACAUUUUAGUAAACUUUGGCAUGGAUCCACUCAUGGGGAAUAAGAUUAAGGUGAAGUAGGAUGUUUUUUCACAGGGGCAAUUACUGCAUUCUCACCGUCACAGUAGAAAUCUUUUUUUUUCUCCAAAGUAUUACUAACCAGUUAUAGGAAACUGAUCCAGCAACUUGCCAUUCACAUUAAAAUAUGUGACUUUAUUUAUUAUUCUGUGUGGUGCAUAGUAUGAAAAAUGUGGGCUAUGAACUAAUCAUGGUGCUUAUUUGGGGUAUAUCAAUGAUAAUACUCAACAUGACGAUGAUGACAUGACUCUAGAGAAUGUCUGGUUGUUACCAUUCUGUCUUCAAAAGUUGAGGCAACUUUUUUUGUGUGUUUAAUUAACAACAUACAUUUGACUUAUUCCUUUCUUGAUUCCAAAAACUUAUACAGAGCACCACAUCUACUCUAGACACCCAGAAUUCCUUACGGAGUUUUCCAUGACAGUGGGUAUGUAAAAUAAAGUCCUGGAAGAGACGAGAAAUGUUUGACAUGAACUCUUGGCAAGAGGAGCAUCUACUAAAAUAAAACGGGUGUGGCUCAUGCAAGGAAGAGUUAGAGCAACUAAGCAGCAAAAAGGCCAUUUUCUACAAUGAGCAUGGGUAGGUACAAUGAGCAUUUUCUACAAUGAGCAUGAGUCCUUUGAUUACUCACUGUCUCAAUUCAAAAUGCUGGACUCUGCUGGUGACAUUAACUUGUAGACCCAACACUGGCCCUUAACUCAGAAAAAAGUAAUAAUAAUAAUUUGGCAACUUCCAAGUGCUGACAUCAGCAGCUCUCUUCUGGUCCUUCCCAGCUAAGUAAGAAAAUGUGAUCUAGUCCUUUUUUACCUUCAGACAUCUCAAGUCAGCUCCCUACAUAACAGCUAAUCUGGAUUCCUGCCAUCCUUGCUGUUUGACUGAGCCCAGGGGGUUCUGUAAGGAGUACCAUGAGAGAGUUCUCAUCACAUCCAAUAACAUUCCCAGUACACAUAUUUUGUAGCUUGAUAUACAGGCCUGGCAGAGAUAUAAAGAAACACUUGAAGAUAGAAUAAAAAGGAAAACAGAAACCCUAACUCAUUCAUUCAAUCACUGAAUAAAUACUGUUUUAAGGCAUUAAUUUUAAUAUUUUGGAUAAGGUGUUGCAGGGGUUAGUGAUAGAAGAGAAAUCACAUAAUAUAUGUUUUCAAGAAACUUCUAAUCCAAGAAAUAAUCUAACAUACAAGUUUAAGAAAACAUGGCACUCCUGCCCAUAUUCCCUUGGAUCCCUUCACCAGCUUUCUACACACCAGCUCCAAUGUGCUCUGACCCCCAACAUCAGCAUCUGUAGCUCCAUGUGGAAAGGCUCCUUUUGUCUAUACCAAUGGAAACUGCCAAGCACCAGAGAGAUUAUGCUGCCUUCCUAUCAUCAGCCCUUAGCCGACGAAUAAAGGGAUGAAGAUAAACACUACAGCCUCCUUGCCUCCUAAUUCGGACAACUCCAAAGUGUGCCUCAUCCUGUCUCAAGAGCUCUCCUGCAAGACUGAGUCAUGUUGCCCCACCUCUGGGGGAUUUUCCUGGAAAUCUCACCCUUGCUUUUCUUCCUUCCACGCCAUGUCUACUUGCCCACACUGCAACUGGUGUUUCUCCAGAAACACUUUCUAAUACACCACUUUCACGUGAAACCCAUUUCAGGAACAGCUUAUGAAGGCACAAAGCUAUCAAUAAGACCAUUUCUCCUAUUUCUAAGGGUGACUAAAAAUGAAUCAAAGAUGAAUGAGAUAGGUUUCCUAAGGGUUAAACAAAACGAUAGGACUUAUUGAACAAGUAGAGUAAAGGGAAACCAAGUUGUCAAACUCUCAAAAGCCCUUGAGUGUCAAGAAAAUGAGAUUUUAACUUUUUGAUAGAAAACAAGAAAUUAUUGGAAAGUUUAAGUAGAAGACACCAUGUCAAUUUUAGCUUGAAUAAUUCAGUAGAAAUAUCACUAAGUCUGAGAGCUUUUCUGUUCACUCUGGAUGUAACAUAAGUGAGACCUCUUCAAAAUUAGCAGAGAUGCUGUGCUUUACACUCCUUUCUCUCCAAAUAUGGAUGCUCUGUGGCCAACCAUCCAGAAUUCUGUCUAACCUGAAAUGGAGGUGCACCCUGAAAGUUAGCACACCUCCCUGGUCUCUGUCAAAAGAUUCCCAGUUCUUAAAUGGAAUGCAACACUGUGCUAACAUUCACACUUCAAAGUCACACACAAGUUGGCAUUAGUCUGUAGAUUCCUUGUCUCCUCCUCCUUGGCAUCUCAUUAUCCAUUUGUACAGCUAUUCAACAAUCCAAGCUAUAUGCUCCAGUACAGGUUUCUAAAGAAUCUUUCAUCUUAGCCAAAAGACAAAAGUAAAAUAUUUCCAGGCAUUGCUGAGUAUAGUUUCAUAAUCACUGUGGCAUACUCUUUGUGGCAGUAUUUCCACCUUCAUCUAACAGUACCCACCAUUAUAAGAGCUUUUCAACAAAGAAUAUCUGCUAUUUAUUUCUUGGCUACAGUUGGAGUUCAUUGUGCUAGGCAUUGGAAUGUUGUUUCCUGAUCAUUUAAAAUGGUCCUCCUGUUUGAAGGACUUGACACUUAUACCAGCAAUUCUCACUCUGACUGCACAACAGAAUCAUGCAAGAGCUUAAAAAAAAAAAGUAUGUAUAUAUAUAUAGUGUGUGUGUGUGUGUGUGUGUGUGUAUUCCUAGUCUCAAUCCCAUCCCAUCACCUAGGUAAUGAUUUUUUUUUCAAGCUCUUCAGGUAGUUCUUGAUGUGACCAGUGUAGGGAACCAUCACUUUUAGACUAUUAGGUCUGAAUUUUAGAUACAUCAGUUUUAAUAUUAAAAUCAAGAGUUCUGAGUGACAGCUGGUCCAACAGUUAAACACAAUGAUACAUCUGUAUAAUUCCUGACAGUUUAUAAAUAAUUUUCACAAAUACAAUCCCUAGAGACCAAAACUAUAUUUAUUUUAAUCAUUCUAAAGAAAAGGGAACAAACUCUAAGAAAAUUUUUAGGUGAUACACUCAAGGUCAUAUAAUAUGUAGUAGAACCAGAACACAAUUUUGAACUCUAGGCACAGAAUUCCAUCUACAAAGGAACAUGCCACUUGGUUUGAAGCAUUAAAACAUAAAAUCCAAGAGGGGAGGAAAGAGUAAAUAGGUGAAGCAUAGGAGAUUUCUGGAACAGUGAACUCUGUAUAAUACCAUACUGGUAGAUAUAUGUCAUUAUACUUUUGUCCAAAGCCAUAGAAUGAAUAACAGCAAGAGUGAACCUUAUUGUAAAGCAUGGCCUUUGGAUGAUUAUAGUGUAUCAAUGUAGGUUCAUCAAUUGUAACAAAUGUACCAUUGUGCUGGGAAAUGUUGAUAAUAGGAGAAACUAUGUAUAAAUAAGGCGGGUGGGGGGGUGGAAUAUGGUAAAUCUCUGCACCUUCCUCUCAAUUUUGCCAUGAACCUAAAACUGCUCUAAAACGUUGUCUAUUUUAAAAAUAUUAAUAAUAGUAACAUUAUUCAGAUCCCUUUGCUGAAUAGUAAAGCAAUUUGUGUACAUUAAUACUUAUUUUUUUGCUUGGCUGAAAUAUUUUAAUUGUGAGCUAAGGAGAAGGAAAUCAUCAUUAUCAUAAGAUUUAAUUCCUUUCUACCAUCUUUCAGCAAAUUGGCAUGAACAUAUUGAGAAUUCUCCCAAGUCAGUUUGUGAAAAACUGCUUUGAAAGACUGGAAAAUGUGCUUUCCCUUGUAAACGUUCAUGGAGUACUUUCACUAUGGGAGAUACACUUGCAUUGUUUACGGCAACCCAGGAGGAUUUAGCAGGAGAUGCAAGCACAUUUGGAAGUGCUUAGCUUUUCAGUCAAGGCCUAGAACUCUGAGGUAAAGAAUUUGUGUGUAGGAGUUGCCGUGGUGGUUCAGUGGUUAACGAAUCCGACUAGGAACCAUGAGGUUGCGGGUUUGAUCCCUGGCCUUGCUCAGUGGGUUAAGGAUCUGGUGUUGCUGUGAGCUGUGGGGUAGGUCACAGACACGGCUCAGAUCCCAUGUUGCUGUGGCUGUGGUAUAGANAAAAAAAAAAAAAAAAAAAGCAUUUGUGUGUAGGCAACAACUUACUUCAGUUCUUAGCCAUCCUACACAGUGGGCUAGCCUGAAUGAUCCCAAAGACAUGUUCAACCUUGCCUCCCCAUCUUCAAGGACACAGAUAUAGAGUGCUUGGCACAGAGUGGACACUCACUAGAUACUUGCCAAAAAAAGAAUAACCAAGAGAGUGUGUGUGUGUGUGUGUAAAUGAAAUGGGAAUACCUCUAGGAAAGAAAUUUCCAACAGUAUUUUCCAUUAGCAAUCUCACCAGGAAGCCUGGAUAUGAAGAAUAUUGUAAUGACAAGAAGUCCAUCUGCAAAUACUGCUUGCUACUUUUUUCUCUGAAGAAUUUACUGCUCUCACAUCCUGUAUAAACCUAAUUUUCCUUGAUGCAGUGUUGAUAUAAAAAUCAUUUUUAUUCCUAUUAACAUCUGAUCACUUAUGUCAUCACAAUUAAGAUAAUACCACCUCUAAAAGGCAGAACGCAGAUCACAAAGGAUUAGAAGAAGUCUAUGCAACAGACGUCUACAAGUUAGACUAGAUGAUUUCAAGAAAAGUCUGUGGGGUAGGGAUUUUAAAUCAAAACAGCACAUAGCUACAUAUAUCUCUCCCUUAUUUGGCCUUAUGAUCUCACAAGCAGAGAAGUAAGAAAUGGGCUCAUUUUAAAGCGGUGAGGCAAAAGCAGCACCCUAGUUGGUUUAGCAGGAAGAAGGUAAUACCUUUAGCCUAUGAGGAAUUAAGUUAGCAAGGAAAACCAUUCAAUUUACCCUGUUUCACAGACUUUUCCAUCACAUCUAGGUUUGCAUACACUUAAAAUUGACAAGGUUAAAAGCCUAAUUCCAACUCAGCAUAACAUGUUGAUUUCUGCUCCAAGAGCAGCACAUUCAUAGGGCAAAAAAGACAGUGCUCUUCUAGUUAAGAAAAUAAGAUGCAUGUAAAACAUUCAAGUAAAAAUGUAAGCUUCCAAAAGGAUAGUUAUAAAAUCAGAGUGGGCAGAAUUCAAAGAAGAGAGAGAUUAGCAUGAGUCAGAGAGACUUGGUAAAGCUUUCAUGGAAGAAGAAUGGAGAGUGUUUAAAGAGGCUGAAGAGAAAAGAAAAAAACACUGGUUUAAAUAUAAGUUGAAUAAUAGAAACAAAAAUUUUAUAUAACAUUGUCCAUCUAGUCUUUUUAUUUAGAAACUUUUGUCAUCACUGAUAUGGCCUCUUCUCUACAACUAUCAGAAGUAUAAGGUAUAUAAUAAAAAUCAAGAAAAUGAAAAGUAAUACAAAAUAUGCAAUUUGCUGAAGAUAAAUAAUACAGUAUUUGGCAUAAGUAUAAGAAGAAAUACAUCACAUAAAGCGAAAAUUGCUAAAUCUCUACUUCUCAUGUUGCUUUUAUAUUAUUCUUUUUGAUGACUGCACAUCUACUUAUGAAAUGUUUGAAAGUUAUUACAUUUUAUUUCUGUAAAAAGACUUUUAAGCAAUUCGAAUUCUGUCUUUCUUAAACUAUCACAGACAACUGAAUUCUUUAUAUUAUUGAAUUGUUUCAUAUCAUAGAAGAUAACACACUUGAUAGUAUUUGCAUUCAAUUCAGAAAUGUAGCAAGCUAUCAGCAAAGAAGAAAAAAGUAUGUAUAUUGACAAGACUCCAAGUAUAUAAAAUUAUAAUCAAAACAUUCCACUUCAACAACAUCUAUUUGUCUCAAAAGCCUAAAAUGACCCUUCAGAAAAAUCAAAAGGUAUCUAUUCAAUUGAGAGUUAAGCUAUCUUCCAAUCAGCGUCUUAACACAGAUUUCUUCUUGGGUAAUGUUUAAUUCUUUCGCUCGAUAUUCCCUUUGCCACUCAAACUAAGUAAGGCAGUCCAGCUUCACUUGUUGAGAUUUAGCCACAGGCUUGCCUACAGUAGCAAACAUCUCCUCAAAUUGUGCUAAGUUGAAAAUAAUUCUUGAUGAAGAGUAUAGCUCUAACACUGUAUAAAUAUGGAAGCCACAUCAUGAUACAGAAGGAACUCAAAAUGGGACCUUAGACUUGAUCAACUCUGUUAGACUUGCACAGCAUGGCUGGGAUCAGGUUAUCUCUUAGGUUCCUUCCAAUAUGAAAAUUCUAUGCUGCUAUGAUAUAAACAAAUAUGUAAGCUUUGCCAUCAACUCAAGACUGGUUACCUUCUCCAGACAAUGGCAUUUGUGAUCAAGCACAUAUAUCAAUGCAAUAUGAUUAAACCGAGCCCCUUUCCCCUAUACAUCUGUCUAGUGCUAUCUAAGCCUAAACAGCCUGAAAGUUACUGCAUUUAUUCAGAAAACACACAUGUAUAUGUGAGCUACCUAGGAAUGGUUAAGGGGAGGCAUGUAGUAGAGAUUUGGUAGAGAUCAGCAGCCCAAGGGGAUUUCUGGCAGGAGAUGCAGAGAGCAGAGAGAACUAACCUUACAAAAAUGGGGAUUCAAAAUCCAAAUUCCUACACCUAGACGAUGUUAGUAAAAACCAGGUAGAACCACCCCUCCCUCAUAACUCAUGCUACAGCCAGACAUUUAGUUUUUCAACAUGUCCUGCAUACCUGGUUCCUUCUGCCAGAAUCACUCUCCUCCAAACUCUUUAGCUAAUGCUACAUCUUCAAGACUUCAAGUAACUGUCAGUUUGUGCAAGAAGCUUUGUCCAAGACUCUAAGUCAAGUUUGGCUAUCCUACUGUUUUAUUCUAUCACUCUGUAACCCCCUCCUCAUUUUAGCAUUUAGUAUCCUAUAUUGAAACUACACAUUCAUUUAGGUCUAUUCCACAACAGAUAGUAACUAGAAAAAUAAAAUACCUAGUUGGCUAACAGUUUAGUUCAGGCAGGUAAGAUAUUAGUGUUACAUUAGAGGAGGAUUAAAAAUGAAAAAAAAAAAAAAAAAAAAAA